rnacentral:rRNA from 1 species
AGCAGCCGCGGUAAUUCCAGCUCCAAUAGCGUAUAUUAAAGUUGUUGCAGUUAAAAAGCUCGUAGUUGAAUUUCGGGGUCAGUAGGCUGGUCAUGCCACAGGUAUGUACUGGUCUCACUGAUUCCUCCUUCCUGAUGAACCGUAAUGCCAUUAAUUUGGUGUUGCGGGGAAACUGGACUGUUACUUUGAAAAAAUUAGAGUGUUUAAAGCAGGCUAACGCUUGAAUACAUUAGCAUGGAAUAAUGAAAUAGGACGUUCGAUCCUAUUUUGUUGGUUUCUAGGAUUGACGUAAUGAUUAAUAGGGAUAGUUGGGGGCAUUAGUAUUCAAUUGUCAGAGGUGAAAUUCUUGGAUUUAUUGAAGACUAACUACUGCGAAAGCAUUUGCCAAGGAUGUUUUCAUUAAUCAAGAACGAAAGUUAGGGGAUCGAAGACGAUCAGAUACCGUCGUAGUCUUAACCGUAAACUAUGCCGACUAGGGAUCGGAUGAUGUUAUUUUUAAUGACUCA